rnacentral:rRNA from 1 species
AUAAGGAGUCGGACCUGCCCAGUGAAUAAUUUUAAACGGCCGCGGUACUCUGACCGUGCAAAGGUAGCAUAAUCAUUUGCCCUAUAAUUGAGGGCUAGUAUGAAUGGUUUGACAAGAAUAAAGCUGUCUCCAUAUAAUUUCAUAAAAUUUUAUUUUUAGGUGAAGAAGCCUGAAUAUUAUUAAAAGACAAGAAGACCCUAUCGAGCUUUAAAUAAAUAAAUAAAUUAAUAUGUAUAUUAAUUAAAACAACGUUUAUUAAAAAUUUUGGUUGGGGCGACUAAGGAACAAAUAAAGCUUCUUUAACAAAUAUUAAAUACACUCAAGUAAUGAUCCAAAAUAUUUUGAUUAAAGGAAUUAGUUACCGUAGGGAUAACAGCAUUAUCUUUUUUGAGAGCUCAUAUCGAAAAAAAGGUUUGUGACCUCGAUGUUGGACCAGAAUAUCCUAAAGAUGCAGAAGUCUUUAAGGGUUGGUCUGUUCGACCAUUAAAAUUCUA